AAAUUAUUAGCAAAUUAAAAAACGGUAUCAUUUAAGGGCUCUAUUUCUUGAAUCUUAUCUUCUAAGGAUUGAUUGAGAAAGAAGAAAGCAGCAGCAGCAGAAGCAGCAAAACUCUCUAAGAAAUUCUCGUCUGCCCACCCUCUAAACAACCCUCAAGAUCCAAUUGUCCAAUCCCAGAAUUAUUCUGCAUUGAUUAGCCGGUUUUAGCUAUGAAGCUGAGAUUGAGGUCUGUGCAAUCUAAAGAAACUGUGAAAAUACAAGUGCCGGAUUCUUGUACUUUGCAGCAACUAAAAGAAACACUUUCUCGAGCAAUAUCUUCAUCUGGCUCGUCUCUUUAUUUGUCUCUUAAUAGAAAGGAUGAGCUCAAUACCUCAUUGCCUGAGGAUUCUUUGCAAUCACUCGGUAUUACGUCUGGUGACCUUAUCUAUUUCUCUGUCAAUCCCAAAGAUUUCUCAUCCUCAGGUCAACCCCUAUGUUUAGGUUCUAGUUCCUCUAUACAAGAACAGGUUCAAGGUCAUCGGGGUAAUGUACAAGAGCCUAUGCCAGAUCAAUCGAUGAGUUUUCAAGAGUCUAAAUGUUCGGAUUUGAAUAUGCUCGAGAAUCAAGAUUUGUUCGUACAAGGGCAUGUUGGUGUUCAGGCUAAUGAUACCAAUUCUCGAGAAACCAUAUCUGAAAUCUCUCCACAGAUGCACUUGCUAGGACAGAAGCAUGAGAUUGCAGAAUCAGAUAUGAAUGGUGCAGUUACUGAAGGACAUGGAGCUCUGGGUUCAAAAACUCGGAUCAGAGAAACCUUAGAGACCCAAGAAUUGACCAGUGUAGAAGCUAUGGAUGUUGAUCCUGGAUCUGUAGAUGUGGGCAAUAAGAGGUUCUCUGAACCGUAUUUCUUGAGGAGGCUAUUGAGGAAAGAAUUGGGUGAUGAUGGUAGCAACUACAAGCUCUUGGUUAUUGCUGUUCACGCUGUUUUUAUAGAAUCUGGUUUUGUUGGGUUCAAUUCUAUAUCUGGGAUGCGAGUUGAUGGAUUUCACCUUCCAGAAGAGCAGUCAUCUAGGAAUUUGGCAGUGUCACUUUGUUACACUCUUCCUGAACUUUUGGACAGUAAAGUUAUUGCUGAAACAAUUGUUUUGAAGCUCCAAAGUUUAGGCCAUUUUGUUAAUGUCUAUGGGAGUUUGUCCAAGGGUGGAUCAGGGCUGUAUCACGCAUGUCUGGAUAUAAAUAAAUUUGUGCCAGCUAUAGAUUUUGUGUGGGAAAAUGAUAAGAAUGAUGGGAUGAAUGGAAGUGAUAGGUCUUCCAUUUUGUAUCCUGAAAAUGAAAUUUUUGAGUUCUGGAAAAUUGUGAAGGAUGGUCUUGCUUUGCCAUUGUUGAUAGAUAUUUGUGAGAAGGCUGGCCUGGUUCUUCCUUCAUGCUUGAUGCGCCUCCCAACAGAGCUGAAGCUCAAGAUUUUUGAGUUGUUACCUGCUAUUGAUGUUGCAAAAAUGGAAUGUGUUUGUUCAGAAAUGCGUUACUUGUCUUCGAACAAUGAUUUAUGGAAGCAGAAAUUUGUGGAGGAGUUUGGAGAUGGGACAGCAGCACAUGGAACUCUCAAUUGGAAGGCGAGGUUUGCUUCAUAUUGGGAGAAUAAGAAGCGGAAGAGGGAUUUCAAUGCAUGGCGGGAGUCUCGGCAAUUUCUGCCCUUUCAUGUCCCGAUCAGGAGGGACCCUAAUCCAUUAUGGUGUCCUUCAAUUAUAGGUGGUGAUUAUGACCGUCUGCCAGGGCUUGGUAUUCCUCCUUAUCGGCGUCCUGGUCUAGGAUGGCCCCAACCUCGUCAUAAUUUUUCACCCAAUUGUAACCUGGGGGGAUUCAGUUCCUAGUCUGGGCCUUGAAGGCUUGCUCGAUGACGGUGGAAUGCAAUAGAGGCUUUUAUGGCUUCAUAGGCCUCAGAGGGCAUCCGAGGAUUAAAGAUGCGGCGGCAGCUGCAGCUUGUAGGAGAAUCACAGUGGAUGUGCCGGGCAACGUCAAGCAAGGCGUGCUUGAAUCUCCUGUCGGAUCAAGUUCAUCCGAAAUCAUAGAAGCUGAAGGUGAAUUCUGUUGUGUUUGCUUGUCGCGAUUGAAGGCAGAUGAGGACACGAGUGCUUUACCUUGCUUGCACAGGUUUCAUAAGGUAUGCAUAGAAGGAUGGUUUAAUAAUGUGUGUCGAAGAACUUGUCCGCUGUGCCGGUCGUCCAUGGGGGGAGAAGAGAGGUCUCAUAAGAGAGAGGAACAGUUCACUGAAGAGAUGGUAAUAUGGUUUUCUUCUUUUCAUGUAGCUGGUUUUUGAGUUUCAAGUUUCUGCACAUUUUGACACCUUGCAAUUAAAAAAAAAAAAAACUAUUUUUAAGUAGGUCGAAGCUCAUAAAGAGAAUUGCCUUCCACACAAGUGGGAGAAAAAAAUUUCAAUAACUCCGUUGCUAGAAUCCAACCCAGGCCUCCUGGGUCUGGGUGAAAGCCAGACAAAUGGCCGCUGGACGACAACGGAGCUGUUUCAUGUUGAUGGCUGCAACAUAGUACUAACUACGCCUGGUACCUCGCUUUGCUUUGUACCAAUCAAAAGUCAAUUAUUGUAUAAAAGAAAUAUGUGAGCAUUGUUAUUUUUUUUCUUGCUUGUAAUAAAAUAUUUGAAAUGAGGAUAAAAAAAUUAUUUAGUGUA